UAAACAUGGCGGCGUCUGUGUCUUUAAUCUAUCAUGUGACUUCUCGAUAUGAGUGGUGAUUGGCUAAUGAAUUCUAUAUUCGGCCGAAUGCUUCGGCGAAGCGAACACACCAGGCGAAUAUAAUUGAUUCGGGCGAAUUAUUCGGCCGAAUGACAGUGGACACCGAAUCAUUCGGCUAGUGUGUCCACCGCCUAACCAUUUGUCCAUCCGACCCUCCGCCAGUGCGUUACCAGGGAGUUUUGUCUGGACAGGAGUGCUAAGGCCUACUCUUAUAUUGAAUUCCAACUGCAAGGGGAUCUUUAAGUGCAUGCCAAUGUGUACAUGGGACCUCAGAGAGAAUGAAAUGGCAUUUAUCAUCAACUCGACACAAACUAGGUCAUUUCUGGACUAACAUAUAUAGUUUAAUUUUAUUUCAAUAAUUCGCGUGCCCGUAGGGGUCUUUAGCAGUGGGAGGAAACUGGAGGACCCAGAGAAACCCAUGAAGUUUGACAGGCGACCUUACUCCUUGUCAUGUACAACCAGGAAAUCGAAACCACGCCAGUUGACUCAAUCAUACCUUAUGAUACAACGCGCACACGCUAACCAUUUGGCCAUCCAACCUCGCGCCAGUGUGCUACAAGGGAGUUUUGUUUGGACAGCAGUGCUCAGGCCUACUCUUAUAUUGAAUUCCAACUGCCAGGGGAUCUUUUAUGUACAUGCCAAUGUGUACAUAAGACCUCAGUUUUUCGUCCCAUCCAAACGACUAGACAGCUGUCCUUGUCAAGCCCUCCGUCCUGCACCACUGACAAGCGGAAACCACAUCGGAAAAUUCUGAUGAGCUUUCUCAGGCAACACUGUGAGCGAACCUGUGACCUCCAAGCAAGCCAGCCAGUGUCUUAUUCACUUAGCCACUGUGGCAAAGGGGUCAUAAAUAUAAUUCCACAAAAAAACCUGUGCAGUUCACAAACACAUUCUCCUUACUAUUCGAGUCUCUGUGACUACAACAACUACUCGAAAGUAGUGCGAACUGUAAAUUUUAUUUUGUUAAACCAUCGUAAGAAAAGGAACAUAUUGAAUAUGCUUGUCAAUAUUCUUUCUCUGUCAGAGCAGCUAAAAGGUGAAAUUGUCUUCCAAAAACUCUUUGUGAGUCCUCUUCCAUCCAAAACUUAAAAAAAAAUUAUUUCAAAAAUGGUGUUGAGAGAGAGAGAGAGAAAUGGGGUUUAACAAGAGAGAGAGAGACAGAGAGAGAGAGAGAAAUGGGGUUUAACGUCCACUUGACACAAACUAGGUCAUUCGGGACUAACAUAUAGUUUAAUUUUAUUUCAAUAAUUUGCUUGCGCGUAGGGGUCUUUGGCAGUGGGAGGACCCGGAGAAAACCCAUGAGGUUGGACAGGCGACCCUACUCCUUGUCACGUAUAACCGGGGAUUCGAAACCACGCCAGUUGACUAAAUGACAGGUCGUCACCAUUCGGCCAUCCAACCCCCCAAAAAUGGUGUUGAAAUGGGUGUUUUUGUGAAUGCGCUUAGAAAUACUCAUGUGUAAUGAAGUGCUAUAAUUGAACCAUAAUAAUAAUAUAGUAGGCCUAGUGGACUCCUCCGUCUCAUUUUGGUUGAAUGUUUGGAAAUUUGAUGGCUAAUUAGAUUUAGGACACUCUGGCAUAUUUUCUAGACUUGGCUUCAUGUGGCCUGUUUUCCAUGCAUACAAGAAUUAACCAAUUAGAAGUUAAACAAAAUAAAAUCUGCUCCAAAAUAUUACAAUACUUUUUUUUAUUUCAUUGCCCAAAACACCUUUACAGCCUGAAUGUUAAUUUUGGGGCAGCGUUUAACUGCAUGGGUGGUAAUUGAAUUUAUUAAAUUGACUAACUUUUGCACAAUAAGUAAAUAUAAAUUAUCUUAAUACCCCAACUCAGACAAGUUAGUGGCCUUUCAAACCAAUUUAAAUUCGGUCAAAAUUUGUAGAAAUUUAGAUAUUAUUUUAUUGCAUGUGUGUACAAUUUGUUAUGUGUCUAAGCUCUGUUACCACAAAAAAUAUAUUUAAUUUAGUCCUUAUAGUAGAUUCUAUCACACGUUUGAAAGUUGUCCAACGGUCGAAUAAAUAUGUUGUAGUUUGACCUAGAUAAAUAUAAGACUGGGAAAAUAAAUAUAAAAAAAAUUCCGACAUCUUAAAAGUAGAUACCUAUAUUCGCAAUGGAAAUAUUAUUUUAAAAAUCGGGAUUAUUUAAUUUGAUACAACUGAAUAAAAUGGCUCUAGUCGAUCUAUUUAAAAAAACAUCAACCAAAUAUACGAGUUGGGCAACUGCCAGUGCAGUACUGCAUCCGUCGUGAUCCGAAUAAAGCUGUACGUAUGUAUAUUAUAUCAUGUGCAUGCUUAAAAAAAGGCCUCUGAAUCAUAUAAUAAUUUCUUCAAUUUUACUAUUCAUAAGCCUAAAAUAUUACGUAGUUAUAGACUAUAUAUAAAAUAUUGAAGUGCGUAGGCCUACAGUUGAUAGUCGCAUAGACUCCGUUAUCUACGUAUAUGAUAUAUGCCGCCAUUUUGGGUCAAGGUCAAGAUAAAUUACAGUCAAUACAAAUGAAUAACUACAUCGAUAGAUUAUUAAAUGUAAUUUCUAUUAACUGAUUUCAAUGUUAGGUGGUCUAUGUUUGUUGUCUUUUUCAGUAUAUUGUCCACAUUGAUUAAACUAUCAUUAUUAAAAUCAUUUUGAUUCUUCUAUAUUUGUACGUACUUUUUUACAACUCUGAACCCGGAAGCGAGGUAUUCUGGGAAGGUUAUUUUAAAGAUGGCGGGCGUUUUGGAAUUUAUUCGUGGAGUGCAUGAGAAAUGUUCAAUAUACAGCUACUUGGAUUACACAAACAGAGAAAGAUAGAUUAUACCAGUUAAAUUGAGAGGUUUUAUUUGAAAACCCUAUAUUUGAGCACCAUUCAUGGCAGUCAUGUCGAGGAAGUUAUAAAAAGGCUGAUAAGGGCUUUGUAUAUGGAAGCUAGAUGACAUUACUACUUAUCAUACACAACUAUUUGUCACAUACCGACUUGGGAUUGAAACCAAGCGACUGAACUCAAUAACAUUCCUCAAUAACACUCGUCUAUGAAACCACCCAGAUGGCAAAGAAAUAAAGACUUUUUAAUUAUGUACCGAACUCAUAUAUGUAUCUAUGGUAGCACAAAAUUCACCAGAAUGUAGGCCAAAGCUUUACUUUACAAGCAGUAGGCUUAAAAUAUUUUCCGUCUGAUCUUGUAAGAGUCAAUUGUUUAUGAAUAGUUUGCCUCAAGCAGAUAUCCUGUCACUGUGUCACAGUAUCAUAUAACCGCUCUUUGGCUUGAACUGAGUUGUAUCAGUGAGUUGAAAAUCUACUGCAGCCAGUACAUGUAUAUUAGAUUCAAAAUUCUAACGAGCUUUCGUCUAACUUCUAACUUCUGUUCAUGUAUUUUUUAACUUCUAUUCAUGUAAUUUCUAACUUCUAUUCAUGUAUUUUGUUAAAUUAAGACAAUGUAUAAUCCAACUUCUUUAUUUGUUCAGUGUAAAUUUUAAUUCUAUUCCAUCUUAUUUCUAUUAUUUAGACGAAAAACGUCUUCUUAAUUUUUACACUUCUGCCUAGCAACCAUCAUUAUGAAGUCAUUUGGUGUCGCCACUGCGUGCUCAUUUUUGGUGAUUGCGCACCUGGUCGGGACCAUUGUGUUGAUAUAAACGACACAUUCUUGAUAAAGACGAGAGUGUCCUCGUCGAAACGUUGCUUUAUAUUAAACUCAGUAAGAGUUAUCUAUAAAAUUGUACCCUGUGUUAAUGUAGACCAACAGUAUAUAAAUAUUAAUUGGCUCAACUUGUCUUAAAAAAAAUGAACAAAUGCUGUUUAGCUUGUAUUUGAAAUAGAAAAUGAAAUAUAAUGGGGUUUAACAUCCUACUAUUCUACUCCGAACUUGGCUAAUACGCCAUACAGUGUGCUACGAAGGAAACUUUGCCCGGACAGCGGCACUACGGAACGAUUAGACAGCUGUACUUGUUAGGCCCUCCAUCCUGCAUCACUGACAAGGAGGAACCAUGCCGGAAAAUCUGGAUGAACUUUCUUGACCAAUGCAGGGAUCGAACACCCUACCGCUAGGCUAGUGAGCCAGCGUCUUACCGACCAUAUUUGAAAUCGUAUUUGCAAACCAUACAUAGAUAUCACGUUCAAUGUUGUUUGUGGGGUUGGACGGCCGAAAGGUUAGCACGUGCGCGCUGUACCAUAAGGUAUGUCAUUGAGUCAACUGGUGUGGUUUCGAUUCCCCGGUUGUACGUGACAAGGAAUAGGGUCGCCUUUCCAACCUAGUGGGUUUUCUCCGGGUCCUCCGGUUUCCUCCCAUUGCUAAACACCCCUACGCGCAAGCGAAUUAUUGAAAUAAAAUUGAACCAUGUUAAUACCGAACCUACAUGUAGUUUGUGUUGAGUGGACGUUUAACCCCAUCAGACUCUCUCUCUCUCGCUCUCUCUCUCGAAGUUGUUUUCAAUUUUAGCACUCCACCAAACCAUUCAACUGGACUAAGAGCGAGUCAUUUGUAUCAACAGAAUGGUCCCGAUCAGGUGCUCAAUCGCCAAAUUGAGCGAACGGUGGCGACACCAAACGACGUCAUAAUGAUGGUUGCUAGGUAGAAAUCAAAAUUCUAAAUUUGUUUACCAUUCAUGCUUAACAUGUAAAGUGACUAGACAUUUUUCGCCUUAAUAAUAGAAAUAAGAUGAAACAAUUAAAAUUUACACUGAACAAAAAAAGAAGUUGAAUUAUACAUUGUCUUAAUUUAGAAAUUACAUGAAUGGAAGUUAGAAAUUACAAGAGUAGAAGUAAGAAAUUAGACGAUAGCAUGUUAGAAUUUUGAAUCUAAUAUACCGCCAUAGUAUACGGGGAAACUUUUUAAACCCUUACAAAUUCUUCAAAUUUUUGUGAUAGAUCAAUAAUAGCAAAAAUCUGUGUUAAAAUUAUA